AUUGAACGCUGGCGGAAUGCUUUACACAUGCAAGUCGAGCGGCAGCGCGGCCUUCGGGCUGGCGGCGAGCGGCGAACGGGUGAGUAAUGCAUCGGAACAUGCCCAGUCGUGGGGGAUAACACUUCGAAAGAAGUGCUAAUACCGCAUACGUCCUGAGGGGGAAAGCGGGGGAUCGCAAGACCUCGCGCGAUUGGAGUGGCCGAUGUCAGAUUAGCUAGUUGGUGGGGUAAAGGCCUACCAAGGCGACGAUCUGUAGCUGGUCUGAGAGGAUGAUCAGCCACACUGGGACUGAGACACGGCCCAGACUCCUACGGGAGGCAGCAGUGGGGAAUUUUGGACAAUGGGGGCAACCCUGAUCCAGCCAGUCCGCGUGAGUGAAGAAGGCCUUCGGGUUGUAAAGCUCUUUCGGCAGGAACGAAACGGUGGGCUCUAACAUAGUCCGCUAAUGACGGUACCUGAAGAAGAAGCACCGGCUAACUACGUG
rnacentral:rRNA from 1 species